rnacentral:rRNA from 1 species
CCGGCGACCGGCGGCACGGGUGAGUAACACGUAUGGAACCUGCCCGCAGCAGGGGGAGUAAGCGGAAGAAAUUCCGUCUAAUACCGCGUAACAACGUUGGGAGGCAUCUCCCGAUGUUUAAAGAUUUAUCGGCUGCGGAUGGCCAUGCGGCGCAUUAGCUAGUCGGCGGGGUAACGGCCCACCGAGGCGACGAUGCGUAGGGGUUCGUGAGAGGAAGGUCCCCCACACUGGUACUGAGACACGGACCAGACUCCUACGGGAGGCAGCAG